UACGGGGGGAGCAAGCGUUGUUCGGAUUUACUGGGCGUAAAGGGCGCGUAGGCGGUCAGCACAAGUCAGUUGUGAAAUCUCCGGGCUUAACUCGGAAAGGUCAACUGAUACUGUGCGACUAGAGUGCGGAAGGGGCAACUGGAAUUCUCGGUGUAGCGGUGAAAUGCGCAGAUAUCGGGAAGAACACCCGUGGCGAAGGCGGCUCUCUGGAACGGUACUGACGCUGAGACGCGAAAGCGUGGGGAGCGAACAGG
rnacentral:rRNA from 1 species